UGCACCAGUAACGCUAGAUGGAAGUCCCAUAAAUGUAACAAAGUUAAAACCAAUACGAUUUACGCCCAUAGGUUGUCUAAUCUGCUCAUUUUGUUAGAUAUGGAGAUUACAUUGUGGUUUACUAAAAGCUUUGGAAAUGUAAGUAUUUUGUGACAGCGGAGAGGACUACCGGGCAGGCAAUGCUGAGAUUCUAUGCUGGGAGGUGCAAGACUUUCCAUUGGAUGAUACGCUGCCUACUAGAAAAUCAUGUAUAAAUUCAGCUUCAAAACAGAAGUCGAUGACAGCCUGACUGAAGAGAUGUCCUCAGAUACAGCGUGUCCAUGAUCUUUACCUCUUCAGUUGACUGAGACAUCACUGAAAGGUCAACCUCCAUCUCUGCCAAUGACUCCACCCUGCAGAGAGAGAGAGGGAGAGAGAGAGAGAGAGAGAGAGAAAGAGAGAGAGAGAGAGAUUCCACCUGUCUCUCUAUUCCCACUCUGUCAGUUGACCCGUCAAAUCUCAGUUCAGUGGUACACUGCAUUUGUCAUCAAUAAAAAAUUCUGAAUAUGAAAUGUCCAGAGCAUGGAAA